UCUACUCAACCUUUUCUCUGCUCCAGACAGAAGUCGGAGCAAACAAUGGAAUGAAGAAAAGGACAAAUGGCACUUCCAUGGAAGCUAAAUGUAGAGAACCCUAGGGAAGAGAAACUACUUCCACAGAACACAGGUGGACUCGUGGGCAUCUUGCUGGGAUUUCCAUUUUGCUGCUUGUGUCCUAAGGAGGCUCCAAGGACCCUAAGGAAGGCAUCAUUGCCCAGCUCGGGUUUACUGGGCUGCGUGGUGGCUUUGCUUGCUUCCUGGUGAGGACUCCUUCCAGUCGCCUUCCCUCUGUUGUCAGAAGAGCGCUCUCACCACAUCGCCAUCCUGAGAACGAGGCUCUCUCCCUGCGGUCAGCAGGUUGAGGGCGGAAUUUCUUAGGAAGGCAUCCGAGCUCUCCCACCCAGCCCUCACUCCCUGCACCUCUGAGCCCCUCCCAGGUCCUUUGGGAGUCUUCUGCUUCAUGUGCUGGGGAGAAGCAGCAUGGUGGUUCUGACCGACCCUCGCCCCUGGGACCAGCAGGCU
rnacentral:lncRNA from 1 species